UAUUCCUGCUAAAUAUUUUGUUUUCCCUGUAAAUACACAUUUCUGAUUCUGGAGGCUUUGCUUUACAGUUAUCUUGAAGGCAAAGUUUUCCUAUGGGCAAUGUGUUGCCAAUUUGAUCCUGCUCUUCCUUACAACUGAACUGCAGCAUGAAAAGCGAGAGAAUCCCACAGUCAGUGGUUGCCACUGUCCUGUUUCAUUUUGCUGCUCCCUCACUAAUCUUAUCUGGAGUGUAUGUAAUGUUGCCAGCUGUCAUAUGCUUUCUCUCUGAAGACGUUUCCCUAGGGCUAGAUUCCUACUGCAGCUGUGGAUUCAACCAUGCAAUUUACUUUCCCUGAAGAAUUAAGCAGUUAUUUCUCACUCAGCUGUCCUCUCAAUGGAAGUGACAUUCAGUAUCUGCUGUACAGCCACAGGAGGGCCUCAGUGGUCAGCAUGUCCAUGCAGUUCUUCUCACCUCGAAGGGAAGCCCAGCCCAGCCACCAGCAGCCGAAGCCGGGGCUGUGUCCCAUAGAAUCACAGAAUAUCCAGAGUUGGGAGGGACCCACAAGGAUCAUCGAGUCCAAUUCGUGUCCCAGUGCUGGCUGAGAGCACGCAGGCUGCUGGUGAGCGUGGGGCCAACCACAGCUCGAGGGCUGUUGUUAUUUGCUGCUUGUCUUGGUUUUUCUGGGCUGCUUAGUAAUGGUCCCAGAUGUAAGUCUAUGGGGCAAAGAUAAUUUUCUUUAUCAGAGUUCCAGGUUGCACUGGUUUAAAGCCACCAUUAGAGACCGGGGAGUUGUCCCUCAGAGCUGUCACUUUAUCUUCUAAUUCCACAUUUUACGUUUUCUGCCUUUAAAGCAGAAACUUUCUUGGAAAACCCCUUGAAAAAACUUGCUUGUUGCUACCACACGUCCCAAAAUAGCACUUACACACAUUCUCCCUCUUUGUCUGUUGCCAUACCAAAACUCCUGCAUUUGAUCUUUCACACUGAUUUUGUGGUGUGCUGAUGUUCAUGCUGUGUUGUAGUGCAGGAGAGUGGCACCACGCGCAGCCAUCUGUAUGUGCAUGAGGCUGCGACUGCAGCAGGCAUGGGGGCUCCAUCCCAUCCCAUCCUAUCCCAUCCCAUCCCAGCUUUGUACCAGGGCCAUCACGCUGCCAU
rnacentral:lncRNA from 1 species